ensembl:snoRNA
AGGUCAUUUCAGAGAGGGCUUUUGGGUCUGUGAAACCAGAGCUCUUAACACUAUGACCAAAGAUUGAGUUCUCUGAAGGAUGCCACACUCAAUAGUGCUAUGUUUUCCUGAAGAGAUGCACGA